GCCGGGAGCUGGUUUUAAACAGAGUCUGUGAAGAAAGCUGUUUCUGGAGAGAGAAGUAAGACCACAAUUCUUACCUGAGAGGUUCAUGUUGAAAUGAAUGAUUUCUGGCCAGUUUGCGUAUAAUCUGUGUAAAGGUAAAUCAGAAAAAUGUGUGUCCAGGGCACCUUGAAGGCCAGAGUGAUGUGGUAUGAUAUUAAAUCAUUAGACAUAUAAAUAUUAAAAAUGAGAAGAUUUUGUUAGAAUGGAAACGGCUCACCAAAAGGCAGAGACAAGAAUGCAAACAGUAAGUCUAGCUGUCAUUCUCUGUAAUCUGGAGCAAGUCAGGUUUGUCUCUGGACCUUCUCCAGUUGUUUUACAACUUUCUAGACAUGCAGUGUAUCAACCCAACACUUUUAUUAAGCAGCUUUGACAGGGUUUUUGAGAUGACAGCUAGUCGAGAUUCAACUUAGCAUUGUACAGUUUUAUUUCACAAUUGGAACUUUCGGUUUUAAUACUUUUAGGACUUUAUUCAUUAAUGCAACACUUUUUGUUGAACACCUACUAUGUACCAGGGAUUGAUAUAGCUGUAAAUAUGACAUACUUAGUCUCUGUCUUUGUAGUACUUUAAUUCCUGUAACACUUGUUAAAUUGGAUUAUUUUUAUGACCGUAGAGAAUUAGAGGGGGUGAGGGAUUUUAUUAUAUUAAAAUUGCAAUUUCAGUCUCUAGAUUUUAAAAAAUUUGUUCUUGGUCCUAAUUUCUGUUUUUUAGCCCUCCUAAUUUAGAAUUGUUUUUGGGUGCUGUUUAGCUUCUGCGACCAUUAAUAAAACUAAAAAUCUAACCAUAGUGAAGUUUUUGCCUUUUCUUAAGCAUCUUUGUAAAUAGAACCUUGUAAAGCUAGCACCUUUUAUUCUGCUAUUUUGCUGCUACAACAAUGAAGCAUGUGUCUAGCACACAAAGGUGCUUCCAAAGUGCAAAAUCAAACUCUUGUCAAUUACCUACUGUUCUUUUCAUCCUCUCUGUAUUCAAAGGGCUUUGCCUCCUCUAGAACAGCCUUGUCUCAUCCUGCCUGUUGAUCAAACAAAUGACUUAUAUUUGAAAUGUUGAAUGUUUAAUCUCCAAGAGGAAAAUUCUUAUUCAGCAGCAGUCUCUUGUGUUUUAUUCCACCUAACAGUUAAAGCGGCUGCAUGUCUGCCACGAUUCACAUGCCCAGACAGAGGCAGUAACCUGUAAGCAUAUAACCUGCUGGGUUUUU
rnacentral:lncRNA from 1 species